CAGUCGCCGCGGUAAAACGUAGGUCCCGAGCGUUGUCCGGAUUUAUUGGGCGUAAAGCGAGCGCAGGCGGUUAGAUAAGUCUGAAGUUAAAGGCUGUGGCUUAACCAUAGUACGCUUUGGAAACUGUUUAACUUGAGUGCAAGAGGGGAGAGUGGAAUUCCAUGUGUAGCGGUGAAAUGCGUAGAUAUAUGGAGGAACACCGGUGGCGAAAGCGGCUCUCUGGCUUGUAACUGACGCUGAGGCUCGAAAGCGUGGGGAGCAAACAGGAUUAGAUACCCCAGUAGUCCCUGUCUCUUAUACA
rnacentral:rRNA from 1 species